AUUGAACGCUGGCGGCAUGCCUUACACAUGCAAGUCGAACGGCAGCACGGGUGCUUGCACCUGGUGGCGAGUGGCGAACGGGUGAGUAAUACAUCGGAACAUGUCCUGUAGUGGGGGAUAGCCCGGCGAAAGCCGGAUUAAUACCGCAUACGAUCUACGGAUGAAAGCGGGGGACCUUCGGGCCUCGCGCUAUAGGGUUGGCCGAUGGCUGAUUAGCUAGUUGGUGGGGUAAAGGCCUACCAAGGCGACGAUCAGUAGCUGGUCUGAGAGGACGACCAGCCACACUGGGACUGAGACACGGCCCAGACUCCUACGGGAGGCAGCAGUGGGGAAUUUUGGACAAUGGGCGAAAGCCUGAUCCAGCAAUGCCGCGUGUGUGAAGAAGGCCGUCGGGUUGUAAAGCACUUUUGUCCGGAAAGAAAUCCUUGGCCCUAAUACGGUCGGGGGGAUGACGGUACCGGAAGAAUAAGCACCGGCUAACUACGUG
rnacentral:rRNA from 1 species